AUGGUGAAACCUAUGAGAGCGAUUCUAAAGGUUCAAGCUCAAGCAAGAGCAAGAAAUCAGAUAAUCUUGGAGAGCUUGCUGGUCAUGGCGAAACUUAUCCCUCUUCUUCUAAAACUUCAAAGUCAGGAAAGAAGAGCAAUAAAGGUGAUGUUUAAAGGUGAAUUGUUAUAGCCUAUUCAUAUGUCAGGCUUAAAGUUGGUGGGGGACUAAUGCUGGGAGGAAUAUCCAUGAAGUCUCUUAUUUUCUUUUUCCUUGUGGUUUAUUUUCAUGUACUGUUUCUUUUCCAAUUAGAUUGUCAGAUUACCGCUAAUAAAAUGCUUGUAAGUUAUGUUUUCUAUGUUAAUAAAAUAAUAGUUUGAAAAA